rnacentral:rRNA from 1 species
CCUACGGGUGGCUGCAGUGGGGAAUAUUGGACAAUGGGGGCAACCCUGAUCCAGCCAUGCCGCGUGUGUGAAGAAGGCCCUCGGGUUGUAAAGCACUUUCAGUGAGGAAGAACGCCUGGUGGUUAAUACCCAUCAGGAAAGACAUCACUCACAGAAGAAGCACCGGCUAACUCCGUGCCAGCAGCCGCGGUAAUACGGAGGGUGCGAGCGUUAAUCGGAAUUACUGGGCGUAAAGCGCGCGUAGGUGGCUUGAUAAGCCGGUUGUGAAAGCCCCGGGCUCAACCUGGGAACGGCAUCCGGAACUGUCAAGCUAGAGUGCAGGAGAGGAAGGUAGAAUUCCCGGUGUAGCGGUGAGAUGCGUAGAGAUCGGGAGGAAUACCAGUGGCGAAGGCGGCCUUCUGGACUGACACUGACACUGAGGUGCGAAAGCGUGGGUAGCAAACAGGAUUAGAUACCCUGGUAGUC